CUCUUUGACCCACUUAAAAGCUCCUGAGAGCUAAGCCCAAUCCCAUCUGAUCUCAGAAGCUAAACAGGGUCGGGCCUGGUUAGUAUUUGGAUGGGAGACCACCUCAGAAGACCAGGUGUUGUAGGCA
rnacentral:rRNA from 1 species